rnacentral:rRNA from 1 species
UGGCGACCAUAGCGUUGUGGACCCACCUGACUCCAUGCCGAACUCAGUAGUGAAACGCAAUAGCGCCGAUGGUAGUGUGGGGCUUCCCCAUGCGAGAGUAGGACAUCGUAAGGCU